AUUGAACGCUGGCGGCAUGCUUUACACAUGCCAGUCGAACGGUAACAGGCCUUCGGGUGCUGACGAGUGGCGAACGGGUGAGUAAUGCAUCGGAACGUGCCCAGAGGUGGGGGAUAACGCAGCGAAAGCUGUGCUAAUACCGCAUGUGAUCUGAGGAUGAAAGCGGGGGACCAAGCAGCAAUGUUUGGCCUCGCGCCUCUGGAGCGGCCGAUGUCAGAUUAGGUAGUUGGUGGGGUAAAGGCCUACCAAGCCGACGAUCUGUAGCUGGUCUGAGAGGACGACCAGCCACACUGGGACUGAGACACGGCCCAGACUCCUACGGGAGGCAGCAGUGGGGAAUUUUGGACAAUGGGCGCAAGCCUGAUCCAGCAAUGCCGCGUGCGGGAAGAAGGCCUUCGGGUUGUAAACCGCUUUUGUACGGAACGAAAAGGCUCUGGCUAAUACCUGGGGCUGAUGACGGUACCGUAAGAAUAAGCACCGGCUAACUACGUG
rnacentral:rRNA from 1 species